rnacentral:lncRNA from 1 species
AGAUGAGCUGACAGACCCUGGCUGAGCAGGAAGUGGCAGGGUCAGGAAAAGCUAGGCCACAAGUUUUCCCUUGAGAGCCUUAGGUGUCUUUGUGAAGCUUCCUAUCUUUGCUUUUCAACUAAGAUGAAACAGCAUUUAAAAGAAAAUGCCAUGUGAGAUGAGAUCAGGAGAAUGGAUUCUUUCUUUCAUCUGAAUAGAGAGCUGCUGUUCGAGAUUCUAACUCAAAUAGCUCAAAGGACACCUUCUCCGGGAAACCUUCCCUGACUUCCGACGCUGUUUCCUGUUAAAAUACACAAGAGAAAGAGGAAAUGGAUUUUUCCUUCAAUGAAGUUGAAGCUUCAUCAACUAACUGACCUGACACUGACCUUGAAAACCUCAUUGACACUACCCUCUGAUUCUGCCCCUCUGGGACUUGAGAGAAAAGGUUGGAGGGGCAUCCAGAGGAAGGCUUGCAGUGCCUGUCUUGACGAUAAACUCUAUGCUUCCAGUUGCAGGAAAGAAUACACAAGCUCAGAAUCUCUUGGGCUGAGUGACAAAGGAGGAAAAGGGAUGGUUCCAAGUAGGAUUGGAGCUUCUGCUUCCUCACUUCCUCACGUAGCUCCAUCUGCCUCUUCAGAGAGCUCCCAUCUCCCACUGUGUGCAGCUGAGUUCCAAGCACUCCUGGCGGCAUAAUGACUGGGACAAAGAUAUUUCCUGCAGUUGUCAAUGGUGCUCCUAUACUGAAACUCUCCUAGGAACUUGGCCAAAUCUUCCUGCUCCCCAUCCCUGAUUUCUGUGAACAAGAGGGAAGACUUUGUCACACUUCUCAUUGGUGAUCAUAUUAAUUUCUAGGCCAUGUGUAUCUAGAUAUGAAAUAAUAUUUCUGUUAUUUUAAAAUAUAA